rnacentral:rRNA from 1 species
AUUGAACGCUAGCGGGAUGCCUUACACAUGCAAGUCGAACGGAUUGGCGAACGGGUGCGUAAUGUAUCGGAACGUGCCCAGUACCGGGGGAUAAGUACGCCAAAGCGUAGCUAAUACCACAUACUAUUGGCACGGCCUAUAUCGGAUUAGCUAGUUGGUGGGGUAACGGCACACCCAGGCGACGGUCCGUAGCUGGUCUGAGAGGAUGACCAGCCACACUGGGACAGAGACACGGCCCAGACUCCUACGGGAGGCAGCAGUGGGGAAUUUUGGACAAUGGGCGAAACCCUGAUGCAGCCAUACCGCGUGUGCGAAGAAGGCCUUCGGGUUGUAAAGCACUUUUGGCAGGAAAGCGGUACCUGCAGAAUAAGCACCGGCUAACUACGUGCCAGCCGCCGCGGUAAUAC